GCGGGAGUGGCGAAACGGCAACCGCGGAAGCCUCAAAAGCUUCUGCCCGCAAGGGCUUGCGAGUUCGAAUCUCGCCUCCCGCACCA
rnacentral:tRNA from 1 species